rnacentral:rRNA from 1 species
UACGUAGGGUGCGAGCGUUAAUCGGAAUUACUGGGCGUAAAGCGUGCGCAGGCGGUUCUGAAAGUCAGCUGUGAAAGCCCCGGGCUUAACCUGGGAAUUGCGGUUGAAACUACAGGGCUAGAAUCUGGCAGAGGGGGGUGGAAUUCCACGUGUAGCAGUGAAAUGCGUAGAUAUCAGGAGGAACACCGAUGGCGAAGGCAGGUCUCUGGGCUGACACUGACGCUCAUGCACGAAAGCGUGGGGAGCAAACAGG